CCUACGGGGGGCUGCAGUGGGGAAUAUUGGGCAAUGGGCGCAAGCCUGACCCAGCAACGCCGCGUGAAGGAAGAAGGCUUUCGGGUUGUAAACUUCUUUUAUCAGGGACGAAGCAAGUGACGGUACCUGAUGAAUAAGCCACGGCUAACUACGUGCCAGCAGCCGCGGUAAUACGUAGGUGGCAAGCGUUAUCCGGAUUUACUGGGUGUAAUGGGCGUGUAGGCGGGAGUGCAAGUCAGAUGUGAAAACUAUGGGCUCAACCCAUAGCCUGCAUUUGAAACUGUAGUUCUUGAGUACUGGAGAGGCAGACGGAAGUCCUAGUGUAGCGGUGAAAUGCGUAGAUAUUAGGAGGAACACCAGUGGCGAAGGCGGUCUGCUGGACAGCAACUGACGCUGAGGCGCGAAAGCGUGGGGAGCAAACAGGAUUAGAUACCCCUGUAGUC
rnacentral:rRNA from 1 species